ensembl:misc_RNA 7SK 7SK RNA
AGAAGUGAGGGUGAUCUGGCCGUGACAUCUGUCACCCAUUGAUCACGAGGGUUGAUAUGGUUGAUCUGGCUGAUCUGCCUCACUAGAUGCAUGUCCCCUUCCUCCCUCAACACCCCAUGUGAGUCCCUCCCCGCCAAGCUGUGCCCUCGCUCAGUGGACGAGGACUACUUUCUCCAAUAGAGGAGGACCAUUUUCCCAUCAAGAGUAGCUGCACUCUCCUGUAAACUAACUAUCAGGAGCUAGACUUAAACCCAAGGUGAAUGGCUUACUGCAGGGUUUGUAGAUAGAAUAGACAAGCGGAGUGAGACACCUCCAGCACUUGGAAAUGUGUCUCCUU